GGCAAGUGAAUUAUGCCAAAUUGUUGGAGAUAAGCUCUUUUUUUACUUGGCAUAUCUUUUUAGAAGUUGGCAAAACACAAGAUAUGUCAAGUAAAAUAUGGCAAACUCUUGGAGAUGCUCUUAGCUUUUGAAGGGCAUAAUGCCUCAAAUCAACAUUUCCCCUUUAAUUGCAUGGACCUUAACAUGAACAGCUAGAACACAAUUGAGUCACCUGUGUUUCAGAAAAUAAUUGAUUCACCUAGCUGUGGAACUCAGCAUUUUUUUAAUUUCUGUUUAUAUGACUGCAUCCCACCAAAGAAGAGGAAGACUUGGUGCAGUGUCCAGCAACCUGUGCAGAAUCAUGACAGGAUCAGCACACUAUAAGAUGACAUUUUGAUCAAAAUUCUUUCGCUAAUGACAGUAAAGGAGGCUGCAGUGACUGCUUGUCUGUCCACCAGAUGGAGACACCUCUGGAAAAACGUUGACCGUCUCAUCCUUGACAUGCAUACUUUUGGGAUGCAAUGCUAGAAAAUUCAAAUAAUAACGAAAAUCCUGAUUUCUGGAAUCAAGAAGCUACAAAGUUUGUGACUAAAGUAAAUGAAGUUUUGCACCAUCAUAAUGGUAAUGGAAUCAAGAAAGUCGAAGUCAACUUCCCAUUAUCCUCGUCCCAUGCUUCGGACCUUGAUCGCUGGGUUGCAUUCACAGCUACAUCUGGUUCAAGAACACUCAACCUUAUCCUUUCUGGCUAUCAUGGCAUGAGUGCCACACCGGAUGCAGAGCGAUACAGCUUCCCUUUGAAGCAUUUUAUGGAUUUGAGAGGCUGCCAAUUGCGCAUAUUGCUUCUAUCCAUGUGCAGUUUAGAAUCAGUGUCUGCAAAACUCAGUGGCUUUUCUUAUCUAGAUUGCCUUUCACUUCGCCGUGUAUCAGUGGUUGAUUCAGUUGUUCUGAAUAUUAUGUCCAGUUGCCGUGUUCUCUGCCAAUUUAGCCUGCAACGGUGCCAUCAGUUGAUUAGUAUGAGAAAGUCUCAUGCAGAAUUGGUGUAUCUGGAAGUUCGUAAUUGUAAGAGCUUAAUUAGUAUUAGCAAUUAUGCUGAAAGGCUGGAGUGUUUCUCAUACAAGGGUCAUAAGGUAGAUAUUGAGUAUGAAUGUGCACCAAUUCUUCACAGACUUCAUGUUUUUUGUGUGAAGAAUAAUGAAUGCCCUUUAGAUUUCUUGGUUGCUCUCCCUAAGCUCAGAUCACUGACCUUACAGUUCCCCACGUAUUUACAGGUAUCUCGUGUACUGCAACACAGUAAAAUAUUUGCUGGUUUGAAGAUCGUGCUGUGUCUCUUGACAUCUUGUAAAAAGAGCAUCUGUUCUGUGCCUUAUCUCCUUAAAGCUUCCCCCUAGUUGAAAUACUUGUUCUUCAGGUUCAUGGAAAUCUGCAACCACCGAGUAAGCUGAAAGUUAUAUGGCCCAAGAAAUGUACCCUUAGAAGGCUCCGCACUAUCCAUAUCCGAGGGUUUAGCGGGGAACUGGAACUGAUGCGGCUCUUGUCCUUUCUGCUAAAGAGGUCACCUGUGCUGAAGAAACUGGUUAUUGACACACAUCCACACAAGUACAAAGCCUUCAGCAAAUGGAAGAGGGAAAGAUCUGAAGAUGCCACGAGGUGCAAUUACACGAGGGGGGUGGCUUUGACACACUUGCCCCGUGAGAUUCCAUCUACCGUGAAGUUUAGAGUUAUAUGACUUGCACGACUACAGACAAGAAUGUCACGGACAGGUUAUUGUCAGAAAAUAUUUUGCUAUAACUCGGGUACUGGUGGCAACUGAAUGUAGUGAAGACAUGCAGGUGCAAAGCAGUAAACUGAACUCUAUAGUUUGGAAUGCCGUAGCAGGCUGGGCCAAUGCCUUGCCUUUUGUGAUGUUUUGGAUAUAUCGCGUGGAUGAGUUAGUCUGGAGGUGGACUUUGCUGUGCAUGUGCUGCUCAAAGUACUUGUAAAUGGUGAAACUAAUGUGAAAGCAUUUCCCACUACCUAUCUAUAAUAACUAAUGUGCAUUCCAAA